UGGGGAAUUUUGGACAAUGGGCGCAAGCCUGAUCCAGCCAUGCCGCGUGCAGGAAGAAGGCCUUCGGGUUGUAAACUGCUUUUGUCAGGGAAGAAAUCCUUUGGGUUAAUACCUCGGAGGGAUGACGGUACCUGAAGAAUAAGCACCGGCUAACUACGUGCCAGCAGCCGCGGUAAUACGUAGGUGCAAGCGUUAAUCGGAAUUACUGGGCGUAAAGCGUGCGCAGGCGGUUAUGCAAGACAGAUGUGAAAUCCCCGGGCUCAACCUGGGAACUGCAUUUGUGACUGCAUGACUAGAGUGCGGCAGAGGGAGAUGGAAUUCCGCGUGUAGCAGUGAAAUGCGUAGAUAUGCGGAGGAACACCGAUGGCGAAGGCAAUCUCCUGGGCCUGCACUGACGCUCAUGCACGAAAGCGUGGGGAGCAAACA
rnacentral:rRNA from 1 species